rnacentral:lncRNA from 1 species
UUUUAAUGAAUUUUUGAAAAUGAAAUGAAUUAACAAAAAAUAAAAAGAAAAAUGAAAUAAGCGAAAAAGCCUAAGCCACAUGAUGCAAUUCAUUAAUUGGUGUGGCACUUGUGGAUGGCUGGGAUCUGAGGACACACACUAGGCUUAAGUCAAACACGCCACAUCAUGAAUUAAAAUAAGUAAUUAAAAAGGACGUGUGAGAUUAGAUCGUGGGAGCAAGAUCCAAUGGUCCGGGGCAAAACACGUGGUGGUGGUGGUGAAAACCACCAUCUUCUCCGGCCAGAC